GAUGAACGCUGGCGGCGUGCCUAAUACAUGCAAGUCGGGCGAACGGACGAGAAGCUUGCUUCUCUGAUGUUAGCGGCGGACGGGUGAGUAACACGUGGAUAACCUACCUAUAAGACUGGGAUAACUUCGGGAAACCGGAGCUAAUACCGGAUAAUAUUUUGAACCGCGUGGUUCAAAAGUGAAAGACGGUCUUGCUGUCAGUUAUAGAUGGAUACGCGCUGCAUGAGCUAGUUGGUAAGGUAACGGCUUACCAAGGCAACGAUGCAUAGCCGACCUGAGAGGGUGAACGGCGUCCAUGGUACUACGGCACGGACCAGACUCCUACGGGACGCAGCAGGCGAGAAUAUUGCGCAAUGGGCGGAAGCCUGAGGCGGCAACGCCGCGUGCGGGAUGACGUCCUUCGGGUUGUAAACCGCUUUCGCCUGUGACGAAGCGUGCGUGACGGUAAUGGGUAAAGAAGCACCGGCUAACUACGUG
rnacentral:rRNA from 1 species